rnacentral:lncRNA from 10 species
AGAUGUACAUUAAUAAUGAGCUAGAAGGGAGAGGUUUUAUUUGGGAUUCAUCAAUUUCCUGGAGGUUCAUGUGGAACAUCUAUGGCACAGGGGAGUACUGACGUCUGGUCCCUAGCCCUGCUCCCCAUGGUGAAGAGCCUUACACACUGUGUGGACACACCGCCCCCAACAUCCAUGCUUAAUCCACAUCCCCUUCAAACAACCACUCUGGGCAGACCCUCAGGAAGAGGCCUGCAAAGGGAAAACUCUUGUCGGUCCAGAGAAGAAAGAAUUGCCAAAAUUAAAUAAAAAGUCAAGAUUCCAUUACCUGAUGAUUUGUGUAUUUCACGUUGUUUGCAACAAACCUGGAAGUCAUCCCAAGUUCCUUUCUUUUUCUUACCCUCCACAUCCAAGCUGUCAACAAAUCUCGACUCUGACCACCUCUCAGCACCUCCACUGUGUCACCCAGUGCAAACCUCCACCACCAUCUCAGCCUCUUACCCAGCUCCAGGAUUCUGCCUUUGCCCCCAUCAAUCUACUUCAGGUCUCUUCUCCACCCAAUAAAUAAGUCCAGCAAUGAUCCUUGUAAAAUGUACAUCAGGAGGGGCCUUCUCAUCUCACCUAUGAUAGGUAUGGAGUUUUUUCUUUUUUCCAUUUCACCUGUGAUGUAUGUUUGUGACCUCCAAUAUGUAACCACUUACUAUGUUGCUUUUAAAAUGAUUUUUAAAGGUUUGUUUACAACCAUAGCCACUAUUUGCAAUUAUGAGUGUAUAGCACUAAGCAUGAGAACUAGAUCUGUGAAAUUUUUUGCCAGUUUCAUUAGGUGACCUCUGUAAGCAUCAAAACCUGGCAUUGAUUGAGGUUGUUUCAGGCUCAACUAGUACUGUUCAAAAUAAAGUAACUGAAAGCAAGUCUGGUGGUAGAAGGUACUUUAUAAGCUAACUAAUGCUUUUCAAAGGGAUAUAUAUUGAAGGAAAGGCUCGUUUUAUAUUACAUCCUAUAAGGCAGUGCUUCUUAAACUCUCUGUGGAAAAGAACCACUUUUUAUAAAUUUCCAGUCUGUUGCAAACCGAUACUUUGUAAAAAUUAAUAAAAGUGAAUUACUAGAAAAAUGAAAUUUUUGAAAAAGACAUAUAAAAUAAAAGUUGUAAUUUUUAGCAAACAGGAAGUUAUAUUGCAAAAAUUACUGGGGUAUAGGAAAAAAGAUACAAAAAUUGUUCGUGUUUGUUCAUUGAAAGUAUGCGUGUAAGCAAUUAAUAGGCUAUUGCACUUGUAAGUUUUCUUCAUUUUAAGGGAAAAUGGAAUUCCCAUAUUAAAUGUCUAUUUGUACACUUUGAACACAAUGUGGAUAAAUAUUUAAAGUUUUUAAUGUGACAAAUGGGAUUGCUUCCUACUUGAUACUUUACCUAAUCUAGGUAAAAUUGCCAAUAAGGCUACUUGUAGGGAAUAAGGUAUAUCUAAAUAAUUUCUACGCUUUAUUUUAAUAAUGAUACAAAAGAAACCAGUCUCACAAUGGAAUGGAGGGAGAGAUUUUAGAGCAAUUUUCAGUGAGCUCAGUUUAUUCAUUUUAAAAUUUUAUCUAAGAUGGAGCCAGAGCCACUAUGCUUUCAAAGUCUUCCAAUCCCUCAACAGACCUGAGUGCCAGCAAUAUAUCCUGUAAAUUAUAAUUAAAUAUAAUUAUCUUUUGGUGAAAUAAAUGGAUCCUAGAUCCAUGGAUUUUUUAGACAUAGAUCUUCUUUUGAUGG